AGGAUUUUAGUUAAUAUAUAACAUUUAAAUUGCAUUUAAAAAUUAUAUUUAUAAAUAUAAAUCUUU
rnacentral:tRNA from 1 species